AUACAGAGGGUGCGAGCGUUAAUCGGAAUUACUGGGCGUAAAGCGUGCGUAGGCGGUUAAUUAAGUCAGAUGUGAAAGCCCUGGGCUCAACCUGGGAAUUGCAUUUGAUACUGGUUGACUUGAGUAUGGGAGAGGGAAGUGGAAUUUCCGGUGUAGCGGUGAAAUGCGUAGAUAUCGGAAGGAACACCAGUGGCGAAGGCGACUUCCUGGACCAUUACUGACGCUGAGGCACGAAAGCGUGGGGAGCAAACAGGAUUAGAAACCCUUGUAGUCC
rnacentral:rRNA from 1 species